rfam:Oryza barthii chromosome 3, whole genome shotgun sequence.
AGUGCAGGAUUGUGUGUAUCGGCAUUACGCUGCUUAUAUGCUGUGCGUUUGUUGCCGAAAGUGUUUCCUGCUAUAGAAAUUUGAGGAGAGUGGGCAGUUGGGUUAAGCUUGAUAUCAGCUUUUUCCAACAAUCAUUUUCCUCACAUGU